rnacentral:rRNA from 1 species
AUUGAACGCUGGCGGCAGGCCUAACACAUGCAAGUCGAGCGGAGCGGCGGCCUGGUGAGUAAUGCCUAGGAAUCUGCCUGGUAGUAGGGGAUAACGUCCGGAAACGGGCGCUAAUACCGCAUGCUAUCAGAUGAGCCUAGUUCGGAUUAGCUAGUUGGUGGGGUAAAGGCCUACCAAGGCGACGCUCCGUAACUGGUCUGAGAGGAUGAUCCGUCACACUGGAACUGAGACACGGUCCAGACUCCUACGGGAGGCAGCAGUGGGGAAUAUGGGACAAUGGGCGAAAGCCUGAGCCAGCCAUGCCGCGUGUGUGAAGAAGGUCUUCGGAUUGUAAAGUACUUUCAGCGGGGAGGCGUUACCCGCAGAAGAAGCACCGGCUAACUCCGUGCCAGCAGCCGCGGUAAUAC